GACGAACGCUGGCGGCGUGCUUAACACAUGCAAGUCGAACGGAAAGGCCCUGCUCUUGUGGGGUGCUCGAGUGGCGAACGGGUGAGUAACACGUGAGUAACCUGCCCUUGACUUUGGGAUAACUUCAGGAAACUGGGGCUAAUACCGGAUAGGAGCUCCUGCUGCAUGGUGGGGGUUGGAAAGUUCCGGCGGUUGGGGAUGGACUCGCGGCUUAUCAGCUUGUUGGUGGGGUAGUGGCUUACCAAGGCUUUGACGGGUAGCCGGCCUGAGAGGGUGACCGGCCACAUGGGGACUGAGAUACGGCCCAGACUCCUACGGGAGGCAGCGGUGGGGAAUAUUGCACAAUGGGCGGAAGCCUGAUGCAGCAACGCCGCGUGCGGGAUGACGGCCUUCGGGUUGUAAACCGCUUUCGCCUGUGACGAAGCGUGAGUGACGGUAAUGGGUAAAGAAGCACCGGCUAACUACGUG
rnacentral:rRNA from 1 species